CAAUAGCGUAUAUUAAAGUUGUUGCGGUUAAAAAGCUCGUAGUUGGAUUUCUGCUGAGAACGACCGGUCCGCCCUCUGGGUGUGUAUCUGGCUCUUUCUUGGCAUCUUCUUGGUGAACGUUGCUGCACUUGACUGUGUGGAGCGCUACCCAGGACUUUUACUUUGAGGAAAUUAGAGUGUUUCAAGCAGGCAUACGCCUUGAAUACAUUAGCAUGGAAUAAUAAGAUAGGACCUCGGUUCUAUUUUGUUGGUUUCUAGAGCUGAGGUAAUGAUUAAUAGGGAUAGUUGGGGGCAUUCGUAUUUAACUGUCAGAGGUGAAAUUCUUGGAUUUGUUAAAGACGGGCUACUGCGAAAGCAUUUGCCAAGGAUGUUUUCAUUGA
rnacentral:rRNA from 1 species